GGCAAGGUGCCGGAGUGGUUAACGGGAACGCCUCGAACCUCCGUUCGACACCGAUCACGGUGGUAAGCGUUUGGGCUCUGCCCGCACAGGUUCGAGUCCUGUUCUUGUCG
rnacentral:tRNA from 1 species